rnacentral:rRNA from 1 species
AGAGUUUGAUCCUGGCUCAGGAUGAACGCUGGCGGCGUGCCUAAUACAUGCAAGUCGAGCGAACCACUUCGGUGGUGAGCGGCGAACGGGUGAGUAACGCGUAGGUGAUCUGUCCAUCAGACGGGGACAACGAUUGGAAACGAUCGCUAAUACCGGAUAGGACGAAAGUUUAAAGGUGCUCCUGGCACCGCUGAUGGAUGAGCCUGCGGCGCAUUAGCUAGUUGGUAGGGUAAAGGCCUACCAAGGCGACGAUGCGUAGCCGACCUGAGAGGGUGAACGGCCACACUGGGACUGAGACACGGCCCAGACUCCUACGGGAGGCAGCAGUAGGGAAUCUUUGGCAAUGGGCGAAAGCCUGACCGAGCAACGCCGCGUGAAUGAUGAAGGCCUUCGGGUUGUAAAAUUCUGUUAUAAGGGAAGAACGACUUUAGUAGGAAAUGGCUAAAGUGUGACGGUACCUUAUGAGAAAGCCACGGCUAACUACGUGCCAGCAGCCGCGGUAAUACGUAGGUGGCAAGCGUUAUCCGGAAUUAUUGGGCGUAAAGAGCGCGCAGGUGGUUGAUUAAGUCUGAUGUGAAAGCCCACGGCUUAACCGUGGAGGGUCAUUGGAAACUGGUCGACUUGAGUGCAGAAGAGGGAAGUGGAAUUCCAUGUGUAGCGGUGAAAUGCGUAGAGAUAUGGAGGAACACCAGUGGCGAAG